rnacentral:rRNA from 1 species
AGAACGAACGCUGGCGGCGUGGAUAAGACAUGCAAGUCGAACGGAGUAUUUUUUGAAGCUUGCUUUAAAAAAUGCUUAGUGGCGAACGGGUGAGUAACACGUGAGUUACCUGCCCCGAAGCGGGGGAUAGCCCGAAGAAAUUCGGAUUAAUACCCCAUGUGAUCGAAAGAUUAAAGGCGGCGUAAGCUGUCGCUUCGGGAUGGGCUCGCGCCUAUCGAGCUUGUUGUGAGGUAAUGGCUCACCAAGGCGAUGACGGGUAGCUGAUCUGAGAGAUGAUCAGUCACACUGGAACUGACACGACGGUCAGACACCGUACGGUGGACAGCGAGUCGAAGAAUCAGUUCG